rnacentral:rRNA from 1 species
AUUGAACGCUGGCGGCAGGCUUAACACAUGCAAGUCGAGCGGGGGAAGGUAGCUUGCUACCGGACCUAGCGGCGGACGGGUGAGUAAUGCUUAGGAAUCUGCCUAUUAGUGGGGGACAACAUCUCGAAAGGGAUGCUAAUACCGCAUACGUCCUACGGGAGAAAGCAGGGGAUCUUCGGACCUUGCGCUAAUAGAUGAGCCUAAGUCGGGUUAGCUAGUUGGUGGGGUAAAGGCCUACCAAGGCGACGAUCUGUAGCGGGUCUGAGAGGAUGAUCCGCCACACUGGGACUGAGACACGGCCCAGACUCCUACGGGAGGCAGCAGUGGGGAAUAUUGGACAAUGGGGGGAACCCUGAUCCAGCCAUGCCGCGUGUGUGAAGAAGGCCUUAUGGUUGUAAAGCACUUUAAGCGAGGAGGAGGCUACUCUAGUUAAUACCUAGGGAUAGUGGACGUUACUCGCAGAAUAAGCACCGGCUAACUCUGUGCCAGCAGCCGCCGCGG